rnacentral:rRNA from 1 species
GACGAACGCUGUUGGCGUGCCUAACACAUGCAAGUCGAGCGAAGUGAGUACUACGGUACGAACUUAGCGGCGGACGGGUGAGUAACGCGUGGACAAUCUACCCUGUAGACUGGGAUAACACCUCGAAAGGGGUGCUAAUACCGGAUAAUGUCGAGAAGCGGCAUCGCUUUUCGAAGAAAGGAGAGAAUCCGCUAUAGGAGGAGUCCGCGUCCCAUUAGCUAGGUGGUGAGGGUAACGGCCCACCAAGGCGACGAUGGGUAGCCGGCCUGAGAGGGUGAACGGCCACCAUGGAACUGAGGAACGGUCCAGACUCCUACGGGAGGCAGCAGUGGGGAAUAUUGUGCAAUGGGGGAAACCCUGACACAGCAACGCCGCGUGAGCGAAGAAGGCCUUCGGGUUGCAAAGCUCAAUAGUAUGGGAAGAUAAUGACGGUACCAUACGAAAGCCCCGGCUAACUACGUGCCAGCAGCCGCGGUAACAC